AGGGACACAGCUCAGUGGGAGAGCAUCUGUCUUGUAUGCAGAUGGUCACAGGUUCAAUCCCUGAUGUCUUAA